UUUAUUGCUGACACAAGCAGAGAGAGAGAGAGAACAAAAGAGAGAGAGAGAGAGAGAGAGAGAGAGAGAGAAGAGGGUUCGUUCUAAUGUCGACGAGGAGCCUGAAGCAAUAUGAAGGCAAGAGAGCGUUGUUACGGCGACUAGGGUAUUGAACAAAUCAGAGUCUCCCCGACUCAUUCAACACGGUCUUCCUUGUCUUCGUCCCCGCCCUGCAGUCAACAGAUUUGAGAGGUGAUGAUGCACACACAACAACGAUGGAAUUUAAAUCCUUUAUUCAGAUGUGGAGGUUAUUGAAUAUGAUGCAGCUUGUGUGUGUGGUAAAAGUAAUCUCAGAGCCGCCGUCGACAACACAUUUAUUAUGCCCUGUGCCCUAUGGAUCAUCCCAAAACCAGUUGGAGAUGUUACUUGUCCUCCUAAAGGUUGGUAUGAUUCUUGAAGGUAUGUGUGGAGCCUGGAAGGAGGUGAAUGGCCAAAUGCAUGGCCAUGUUUCUUUUUGUAAUAGAUUGGAGCUCAAAGUCCAACAUGUUUUCCUUACAACGAUGGAAUGGAAAAUAAAUAUCCUUUUUCUUGAUCCCUAUGUGGAGGUUAUUGAAGAAUAUGAUGCAGCUUCUGUGAUAAAGUUUUAUCGCAGAACCGUGGACAACACAGUUAUGCCCUGAAAGCCCUGUGGAUCAUCCCAAAACCAGUUGGAGAUGUUUCAAGUCCUCCUAAAGAAAUCUCCCUGGCUAUAUGAUUCUACUGAUGGUCUUUGAUAGUCUCGACUUAUCCCCUGUUGGAAUGUUUCUUGAAGGUAUGUGUGGAGCCUAGAUGGCUACCAACUAUCGUGUUAGCUAAAUCGUGCCAUAAGCAUGGCCAAGUUGUUUUUGUAACAGAUUGGAACUCAAAGUCCAACAAAAUAGUCUCUGCUUCCCAUGACAGGAACUUGUUUGUGUGGAGCCUGGAAGGAGCUGAAUGGCUAUCAACUCUCGUGUUAGCUAAAUGUUAGCUAAAGCGUGCCAAAAGCAUGGCCAAGUUGUUUUUGUAACAGAUUGGAGCUCAAAGUCCAACAAAAUCAUCUCUGCUUCCCAUGACAGGAACUUGAAUCCCCUGAGGGAAGGGCGAUGUUGGAAUUCCGGAAUGAUUUAAGGACAAAGAAAGACGUCUUCAAGCUAUUGCUCGGAACCAGGUGAUAAUUGUAUAUAAGGAGACUGAAUGUGGUAAGACAACUCAACUCCAGCAAUACAUUUUUGAAUCAGAGAUAAAGUCUGGUCGAGGAGCAUUCUGCAAGAUCAUUUGUACACAACCUAGGAGGAUAUCUGUCGUGGCAGUUUCAGAAAGAGUGACAGCUGAGGAGAACCUCUUGGUGACGCAAGAACAACCACGAUGACUGUUAUUACCAAGCACCCUGUGGAUUAUCCCAAAACCAGUUGGAGAUGUCACAUGUCCUCCAAAAGAUGUGGAGGUUAUUGAAUAUGCAGCUUCUGGAAAGUUAUCUUAGAACCGUGGACAACACACUUAUCCCCUGCCGUGUGGAUCAUAUCCCUACCAAAAGUUGGCCUCCUGAUUUGGUUGGGAAAUUCAUUCCAGUGCCGGCAGCUCCUAUAAGCAACAGACUCUCAGUACUAAAAUGCUGGGGCAAGAAGAAAAAGUCUUCUAAAGAAGGUUCACUCUGAUAUUGAGGGCGGUUUAUCUCUCAGAUACUCUGGAUAUAGCAGCGCUGUACGUUGCGAUGAAAAGAGUCUCUGGCAUGGACAACCAAAAAAUUGUUGGAUUUGAACGGCAAGUUAUGAGAGAACAAGACGAGGGACUUGAGAAGUUGGAGGAAACAGUCAUGAGUGCCAAGCACAUUGCUCUCGCUGUCAACGAGGAGCUCACUCUGCAGACAACUGGACAAGGCUAAUUGAUAAUACUAUUGAUCGAUUCGUUUGAUUGAGGAUGAGGCUACUAAGAUCUCUCGCUGAUGGUUUGAUUGAGGAGGAGGGUCUUCUUUUGUAAUUGCUCCUGAGCAGCAAGAAAGCUUUGUCAUAAUCUUGUCAAAGGAUGGAUCACAACAAGCAGCUAUAUGGAGUAGUGGGCCUCUCAAGGAUUGUCAUCUUUUCUCGGGACCCAUUCAUGGUUUCUGAGGUUUCUUUCCAUGAUCUCAUCUCACUUUGAUGGUUGCUGCAGUAGCACACUUGGGAUAAAAACAAGCACAGAGGUUUGUCACAGCUGCUGUCCGUGACUACAAAUUGUCUCUCCAAAAUGAUGAAGCACAGCUGUCAGGUUCCUGCGGAUGGAGUGCUAAUAUAUGGACACUAGCAUGACUGGAGAGAUCAAAAAUCGUUAACAAAGACUCUAACAAGGACCCAUUCCUAAUGUCUGGCUAUAAAUUUGCAGAUGGAAAUGGUGUUUUUUUGGAAGCGUAUUCUAUAUGAUCCAGUUAUGGCUUCAACUUUUAGGAUUGAUUCUGGAGGAUAGAACUAUUGAUCGAUUGGUGAUUAAGGAUGAGGCUACUAAGAUCUCUCGCGGAUGGUUUAAUUGAGGAGGAGGCUACGAAGAUCUUCUACGGUAUUCUUUUGGAAUUAUUCCUGAACAGCAAGCUUUGUCGUAAUCUUGUCAAAGGAUGGAUCACAACAAGCAGCAAUAUGGAGUGGGCGUCAAGGGUUGUCGUAUUUGCUCUGGACUAGCAGAGAAAGGCAUCAGUGGAGAUGAUGAUGACUUGUUAAAGCUCAUGAUCAUUUAUGGUUUCUGGAGUUGAAAAACCAACAAGCAUCACUAUGGAGGGACGGGUAAGUUUGCACUCAUGAAACGUUCUUUAUCUCUGGUUUAACCUUGGUAUGCAUGUUUUUUUCGUGUUGCAUCAGCCUCAAGGAUUUGCUCAAGACUACCAGAGAAAGGCAUCAGUGGAGAUGGUGAUGACUUGCUAAGCCGCAAGACCAUUUUUAUGGUUUCUGGGGUUUCUUUCGGAUGCUUGCCAUGCAUGAUCUCACUUUGUUGAUGGUUGCUGCAGUAGCACAGAAAAAAUAGAGGUUUGUGAUUGUUGUCACAGACUCACAGCUUCUGUCAGUGACUACAAACCUCUUCACGUUGAAGAGUGGUGAGAUAUUUUGGAAUUACUUCUGAACAGCAAGGAUUACAACAAGCAGCGAUAUGGAAGGGCCUCAAGGAUUGUCAUAUUUUCUCAGGACUAGCAGAUAAAGGCAUCAGUGGAGAUGAUGAUGAUGCCUUGCUAAAAGCUCAUGACCAUUUAUGGUUUCUGAGGCUUCUUGCCAUGAUCUCACCUCACUUUGAUGGCUGCUCAUGUUCGUGGGAAGGUUCACUCUUAAUCUUGUCUUGUAUGAUGUUGCGAGCAGUGCAGACACAGACUGCAUUGUGACAGAGGAUCGUGAAGUUGCAGAGCUAUUCCUUCGCCAAGUGGACAGCUUAGCUGUAUUCCAAAACGCAAGCACAAGAAUCUCAGAUGGUUUUCGAUUUAGAUUUGGUGCUGAGGUUAAUAUAUUCAGAGAUGCUGGAGUCUUAUGGUGGAAUAUAUUGAUUAAAUCCGGCGUCACGACUUUGAGGUUACAGUGGUGGGCGGGGUUUCUGAUACCAACAUUUUCACUUUUCAACUUGGCCCCAUUCAUUUAUAUAUCAAAAUCGUAACUGUUAAUCACCGUUUAACCCAAGAUCAUUGUGGGUGUAUCCCAAGAUCUCUCUCACUCAUCUUUUUAGUGUAAAAACAUAAACGUUGCAAGCUUUUAACAGAAAAAGGGUAAAAAACUUUGCAACUUGCAAGUAUUGGCACAUGCUUGCUAACAAAUUAUUAUCAUUAUUUGGAAUUAGUGACUUUCACAAAAAUGUUUGUAUAAACUAAAAACCCACAUAAUCCACAAACUACAUGCA